CCUACGGGUGGCAGCAGUGGGGAAUAUUGCACAAUGGGGGAAACCCUGAUGCAGCGACGCCGCGUGAGUGAAGAAGUAUCUCGGUAUGUAAAGCUCUAUCAGCAGGGAAGAAAAUGACGGUACCUGACUAAGAAGCCCCGGCUAACUACGUGCCAGCAGCCGCGGUAAUACGUAGGGGGCAAGCGUUAUCCGGAUUUACUGGGUGUAAAGGGAGCGUAGACGGCGCCACAAGUCUGGAGUGAAAUGCCAGGGCUUAACCAUGGUACUGCUUUGGAAACUGUGCAGCUUGAGUGCAGGAGGGGCAGGCGGAAUUCCUAGUGUAGCGGUGAAAUGCGUAGAUAUUAGGAGGAACACCAGCGGCGAAGGCGGCUUGCUGGACCGUAACUGACGUUGAGGCUCGAAAGCGUGGGGAGCAAACAGGAUUAGAUACCCGAGUAGUC
rnacentral:rRNA from 1 species